GAGGGAUUUGCCCAUUUCCUACCUGCCCUACUUGUGUUGGAGAGCAGAUGAGGGAGCUCUGGCUGCAGCACUGCAUCCCUGGCCUCCACGGAUGGUUGAAUCUGUUUUGCCUGUGAGAGUAAGUGCUGAGUGUUCUCUCUCUGUCCUUAUCUCAACCCACAAGCCUUUCAUUGUAUUCUCCCCACUGCCCAGCUGAAGGUGACACGGUGGCUUUGGUGGGACCCUGAUGUCCAUCCAGGGUCAAUCCAACAUAGGAGUGAAGGAAAACAUUCCCAUGCCCUUUCCCUGGGGUGAGAUGCAGCUGAUGGCAGUGAUGGCCCCAUCACUCACUGCAGGGACAGCUCCAGCCCCAGGGGGGUCCCCACUGUUUCUGGAGCCCUGGCUGUGCCUCUGUCCCAGCCACCAUCCAGGGAUGAACAUGUCCAUUUUCCCACCAAAGGAAGGUGCUUGAUUCAGAAAUGUGUUCUCAGCUUUCCUCCUUCGCCUUUCUCUCCCUUGGGCUCUGAUUUGGAGCAUCUCCCAUCCCAUGAGGAUCCUGCCCAGGCCCCCAGCACCAGACCCCUGGGCUGGAGCCCAGGCCCAGCAAAAGCCACAGCCACGGGCUCAGCUUUGCCCUCUCUGGCCUGCACUGGAGUGAGUGUGGGGCAACCCUGACACAGGGCUGGGGGGGGUUGCCAGGCUGUCAGGGGGGACUGGUGGCACCAGGGAUGUUCUGCUGUGCCCAUGCAUUCCUGCUGCCCUGCCUGCUGCCCAUAGUGCUGGGAUUUACCCACAGCAAAUCCCAAGGAUGCUGUUGAACCCCCAUCACACACAUUUAGAGCCAUUUCCUACAUUUAUAACAAUUUCCAGCAGUUAUUUUGCAGAUUUAUUUCUCACAUGUGUUCCUGUGCUGCUGGCCCCAGGCAGGCUCUGGUCCCUGAGCCAGCCCCGUCCCUUGCCUGGCCCAUCAGACAAACCUUUCCCUGCCUGCAGUUCCACUUUGCACCCCCUGGCUCCUCUUCCAGCCUCCAGUGCCCCCAGACCACAGCCUGCCCUCCAACACACCCCUCACCCCUUCCACCAUGGCCCUCUUCCCAAACAGGGGCUCCCAUCCUUCCUCCUCCAGCCCUUCCCUUCCCUCUGGAUUUCCUGCACCACAAGUCAGGUGGGUUCUUUGGUGCCUUUUGCUUUCUUGAAGCCUUUCUCUCAGUGGCAGACUGGGGAAAUUUGCUGUACAUUGCCCCAGGCAGGCCAGCAUUCCCCACCCCAUCCCCCUGUGCCCACUGACUGAGGAGGCAGCACCUCCCAGUGCUCAUUAUCUGCUGAAGGUGCUGCAGGAGAAGAUGAAUGAGUUAAGAGCUCGGGCUCCCGGCAGCCGGUCCAGGAUGCUCUCCAGGAUGCUCUGCUCCUCCGCGCUGGGCAACGCUCCCACAUCCCUCCCAGGUGAUCACACCCCUCCCGGGGACCGAGGGUCCAUCCCAGCGGGACGAGCCACAGGGCUGCAAGGGAGGGCAAAGGGCAGCCUCGUCCAAACGAGACCUCUCCUGCUGAGGCUGAGUAACAUCGAACACGGGCACCGGGGUGGAAAGUUUGGGACGUGUCAGGUGCCUGCCGGGCAGGGCACAUUUCCCACGGCAGCCGAGCAGGGUGCCCGGCGGACACUCCUGGAGGUGCUGUGCGGGUUGGGUUGGGUUUAGGAGGGCUGGGGCAGGGCUGAGGAAGUGCAUGCAACGAGGAGCAAAAUAAUAAACCGCUCUGCAAACCCUAUUUUCGAGCUCCCAGCAGUGGCAGCCCCGGGGUGGCAGCGGUGCCGGUCACUGCGCAGCCGAUGCUCUGGGACGCCGGUACAUCCCCUGCGUGAAGUUCCCCAGCGCUGGCAAGAAGUGGCGCAGGUAGAUCUCGGUGUCAUUGCUCAGGCGGCAGUUCUGGGGAAGGAGAAGUGUAAAUACAUUAGAGCUGGCAGCGGGAUUUGGCAGCAGGGACGGUGGGUAGCCAGGCUUCCAGCCCAGACAGGCGGUUUGCUUGCCCCCAUCGCCACAUAAAUCAUUCAGAGCGGUGAGGAUGCUGCCCCGGGAGACUGGGGGUUUGUCCUUUGCUCAGUGCCCCGCGGUGUGACCCCCUUGGCCACUGGUGUGACCCCCUUGGCCACCAGUGUGACCCCCACGGCCACUGCUCAGGGUGGUGGGGCUGGCGGGGACUGUCACCCUCCUCCCGUGGAGACAGGUUAUCCUGCAGUGCCCGCUCUGGCCCCACCCAGGAGAGGCAGUGCCGGUGUGAUCAGCCCCCGGUGCCCCCGGGAGCCGGCCCUGGGCCGGGGGCAGCCCCUCCUUACCGUCCUGCCCUGCAGCCUCCGCAGGUUGGUGACCAGCGGCUCGUAGUCCUUGCAGCGGGUGACCCUGGCGAGCGCCUCGGCAGCCUGGCACAGCAGCUCCCUCUCCGACAGCUGCGGGACACGGAGGGGAACGGGUCAAGCCACGAAGGUGGUUUAAGUUGAAGCUACUUAUCCAGGAUUGGCAGGAGGUUUCAAAGUGAUUUCCCAACCUGCUCUCAUGUCACAGCUGCAGUGGCAGCCCCUGCAGUGCCCCGGGCCCUGGGCUGUGCCCCGGGGUGAGGGCACAGAGAUGUGGGAUGGAGGCACAGCCUCGCCCCAGUGCUGGCACCUGAGCAGCUCUUGGGUGACCAACAAAGCUGCCCCAGCUUCAUGGGCUGUGCCUCGUGGGGGGGAGGGCACUGCCUGGUCUGGGUUUAUUAUAACUGCCUUUUCUGCCUGUCUCUCCAUGGGUGUUUUACCUCUGGGUUGGUGAAGGAGACCUGUGCCACUCGGGUGUCAUUGCAGGGGACCUGGAGAGGUGACACAAGAGAGAAUUGUCAUUACCAGACCAUCAUGAUGAGACCACCCCCGAGGAGUCACCAGCUGUGCCCUCCACCAGGAAGGGCACCGUGUCUCCAUCCCUCUCCAGCACCCUUGGUGGUGCCACCACUGAGAUCCAUCUUUCAGCAAAUAGUUCCAAACAGGCUCCUGCACACAGGACCUGGGCUGGCACAGCACUUGCAAGCAGCUGUUUGGGAAGGAGCAGGAGGGUCCCUGGGUGCUCAGUGGGAGCAGAGCAGGGACUUCCUGGCAGCUCACACUGCCCCAGGCCCCCGUGCCCACAUCCCAGGCUGCCUCAAUCACCCUGCCACAGCAGCUUUCUUGUUCCUCAACAUUUUUUCCUGCAAUGUGCCAAAUGUCAGGUGGAAAACUUCAGCUGACCUGACCCCAGCAGCUGCUUGUGCCACCAAGUCAAGUGCUGAUCACACCAAGUCUUGGCUGAGAUGGGCCAGGGUGCCCCAGGCUGGAGGUGGGAUGGAGUGGACUGAGGGAAUGGGAAGGGCUCCUGCAGGCCCAGGCAGGAGUGCCUGGCCUUGGACACCAUGGGACAUCGAGGACCAUCAUCAUCAUCGCUGGGGAAGCUCCCGUGGUGGGUGAGCAGAGCAAGGGCAGCAGGGGCAGCACAUUUACCUUCACUGCUGAGUUGAGCUGUCGCACUUGGAGGAUGAUCUCCAGCAGCAUCUGCUUGUGCAGGUGAGUCACGGACGUGGAAGAGAUGAGCUGGAGCAGGGACAGGAGAGCAACAGCUGCCUUCAGCGAGGGGAGCAUCCUGUCACCACUGUCUGAGCGCUGCCUGGGCUGGCUGGCCACGGCCUCUGCCUCCUGCUCGGCACAGACCCAUUUUUAUAGUGUGGAGAAGGACCCGUGUCUCCAUUGACUGCCAAAUAUAGGUGUCUUCCUGUGCUGCUGGCAGUGGAAAGUGACACCCCAAAGAAGGACAUUACGUAAUGAUGGGACACUUCUCCAUCCGUUGAAUAAUGUUAUCUGUUAUUCAGCUACAUGCAGAUUUUAAUCACCUCACUGAUGGAUGAGGAGAUACUGGGAUGAGAAUUUCUCUUUGAUGUCAGAGGAUCUAUUUACUAUUGAGUGUGUUUGUAACAUGCUGCUUGUGGGAAACCAUGAACAUGGGCAGGACUGAACCAGGCACAUUGCAAGCUGUUGGUAAAGUCAAGGCAUGAUCUUAUGUGCAGAGAAAUACCCAGGGGUGCUUUCCUGGUCUCCACGAUGAUCAAGACAAACAGUUAUGCUGAGGGCUGGCUCUGGGAUGUGCAUGGCUGGAUGCCUGCCAGGCUCCUGCUCUGGGUGUUGGUGUCUCAAGGGAGUUGAUGUGAACCCAGCAAGUACCUGUAUCUCUCCUCCUGCAAGGCCCCUUCUUCCCUGAGCUGGCACAUGGCUGCUCUUGGAGAGGAAGAGCUGAACUGUUUGUCAGAAGAAUUCGUGUCCUUUGGCCACCAGGGCAGGAGCCCCAGCAAGCUCACACAGCCAAAGAUUGGAAAGAAAAGAAAACCUCAAAACUUUUAUCAAGAUGUUAAACAUCUGCAAAGAUAAAAAAAAAAUGCUCUUGCAUGUAAAGGAAGAAGUAGCUGGGGGGGUUUUCUGGCAUGUGGGUGUUUGGUUUCAACCAGGACUUCCUCGGCUCUGUCGCACAAAUCCCAGUGUGUGAGGACGGCUCCUGCAGUGCCCAGCUCGGGGUCCCACACCACCCCACACCACCCCAUGCCACCCUACACCACCCCUUGCCAUCCCACACCACCCCAUGCCACCCUACACCACCCCUUGCCAUCCCACACCACCCCAUGCCAUCCCAGGGGACAUCAGAAAACCAACAGUAGCUCAGGAAUUCAAACCCCCACGUUCUUGGGCAGAAGAACAGACACAAACCUGUAAUUAUUUCCCACCAUGGGUGAACUGUGUGGUCAGUGGGAAUUUGACAAAUGACAAUUGUCAGAUUGUCCUUUUGCCAUGUGCUCCUGCACACACAGGUGAAGCAGCCCCUGGUCCUGCAAACCCCUUGCAGGGGAGCCUGACUUCACCUGGUACCUGCUUAGGGGCUUAUAAAUAGUGUAAAUUGUUGAAUUUAAAUGUUUCUACAUUUUAUAAAUUAAUAUUUUUUUUCCAAAUUUUCAGUGAAGUCAACGUGUCCCAGAGCCUGAGGAAGCCUGAACUUCAUAUUUCAAACAAACCCCUUCCUACUUCCCUGCAUUCUUUCCGUAUGGGAUGACCACUGACCUAAGCAGAGCCAAGGUUGGAUGCCACAAUCAUCACACACCAAUGGAGAGCAGAGGGGUUGGCUGGAGCCCUGACCACCACCAGCAUGGGAUGGCCUUGGUGGACAUGGAUGGAAUUGAUGAAAUCAGUGGAAAGAAACAGGUAUGACCAAUUGCUGCCAGAUUUGAGGGGUACAGCUCCCUGUGGCAGCCUCCCCUUCUCUUCCCUGGCUCUGUAGGAAAUAGGGGAAUGCCAGUCCAUAACUUUAGCUGGGCUGAAUCUGUGACUCCCCAGUCAAACAGGCAGUAGCUUUGUCUUGGUGCUGGCCCAUCACUGUGGCAGUUGGCAGUUCCCCCCCGGCUGCUUUGGCCACCCCAGCUCAGGGUGGGGACAGGACCUGGCACUGCUGGCAGGAAGGGCAUCUGCUCCUCCUGGGUGCCUUUCCUUCCCCCACAGCCUCCUCGUGCUCAGCUGCCCCUCCCUGGCAAAGGGAGGCAACUGAGUCACCUGCCCACCUUUGCUUUGGCAGCCAAAUUCAUCCCUGUGGCAGAUGGAGGGUUUGUGGAGGGACAGGAUGGGAUCGUGGCAUUAGAAACAAUGUCAGAACUCAGGAGGUCCAGUGGAUACUUUAAUUGAGGUGAUAUAAAUAACUUCAGGUUCUUCAUGAGGGCCUGAUUUUAGAUGACCCUUCUCACCAUUUUCUCAUUUCCAGCACUAUUUCAGCUGCUUCUUUUACCAAAUGCUCAUGGAGAAGCCACCACAUGUUUUCCAGGCCAUUUGUGCUGUUCCUUACUUUCAGAAGGUGGCAGAGAAAUUAAAUAAGACAUCUUAUAACAUGAAAAAAGCCCAAAUGUGGGUCACAGUGCAAUGUGUAGCAUCAGCACAUGCAGUAUCUCUUGAAUCAGUGGUUGGGUUUACAAACAGUGGAUGCUGCCCUGUGCUGGAGCCAUCCCCCUUCCUUCAGCCACUGCAGCUGGAGGGAAAGGCACACUCCAGCAAUUCACUUUUCCUGCAAAAAUCAGACUACACAGGUAGGAUGGAGCCAGGUGAAGGAGAACUGGCAAGUUGCAUCACAUUUCCCAAAGGUGGGAUGGUGCAGUGGGUGCAGUGAGUGCUGGCUCCUGGCAGCUCGCCCGGGGGGCAGCCAACCCUGUCAUACUGAGAUAGAUGAGAUGAUACUUGGUGUGACAUUUAAAUGCAAAGUUGCAGGGAGACAGCAAAUGAUUAAGCUUUUGGAAGCAUCAUCUAUACUUAUUGCUUUGGUUUGUGGUGUUUAUUUGUAGAUAAUCAUAUCUGUUUGGGCUCCUUAAUGUAAUUUUUAGGGCAUGCAAAAGCUUUUGGCUUAAAACAUGCCAUGUAGGAGGAAACUGUGGGGAGAAGUGAGUUACAUGUUCUGUAAGUCAGUUUUUUACUUCAGGGAGAUCAGAGAGCAGUUUUGGUUUAAAGACAUUUAAAAUUAAAAAAAAAAAACUUAAAAAUUAUCUGUUGAUUAAAAUGUCUUCUCGGAAGUUUUUAAACUCAAAGUGCUCUGGGGCAGGUGUUGCAGCAGCCUGCAAGAAGAGCUGUACUGCAGAAUUAACACUGAAGGAAACAUCAGAAAAUCAAAGUAUUGGGUUUCUAUUGCUAGUCUAAAUUCCACUUAGAAAAAGGUGUUCAGACAGGAAUGUCUUGGAGGCCUCUGGGUUUUUUUCCUAGUGAAAGUUGUUGGCAGAUAAACUGAAAAUAAGCCGUGGCACUGAAGCAGUGGGUGCUGGGGCACAGGGGGGGAGGAAGGUCUCUUGCACGAGCAGUUCAUGCCAGAGCCCUCCAUCUCCUGCAGAUCCCAACUCCAAAAGCAUUUGCCAGGGCUGAGGCUGCAGCCAGACCCAAAUCCCUUGGAAGGGAUUUACACCCAACCAGCCCUUCCAGGGCAAGAUGUAGAGGCAUGGGAAGCAUUUGGUGCUCUCAGGGAGGUGCUGGGUGCCUGCCUGCUUUGCAAACACCAUCCCAGGCAACUGCCUGAUUCUCAACUCCUGAUCCUAUGGCAAUUCCACUCAUUACUGUUGUUAGUUUUGUAGUUGUUACUUUUGGCUCUUAGUCACGGUGUGUCUGGGUGGGUGCUGUUCCUGUGGAGUUGUGUGCACGGGUUACUGUGCAGAGCAUCCUAUGCUGGGAUCUCUCUGCUGGAAACCCACCCUCACUCCAACCACCAUGGCAAGUGGACACUCAGGUUCUUCACCACUUAAUCACCUGUCCUCUGAGUCACCACAGUAAAUCUGUGCCUUGUUUGCCCUAAGAUGUCUCUGCUUGGUUCUGCACUUUGCAUAGCAUCUUCUAGAGGCAACAACCCCUCUCCUGGGACAUCCUCCUCCUCUUGCUGCCCUCACCUCCACCUGCAUGCCAGGGCAGGGAGCUGUGGCAGGGCAGGGGUCCCCGAGGUGGCACAGGGGUCCCCGAGGUGGC